UAUGUGAUCGUCUCUCGCAUAUCAAUAAGCGGAGGAAAAGAAACUAACAAGGAUUCCCCUAGUAACGGCGAGUGAAGCGGGAAGAGCUCAAAUUUGAAAUCUUAAAGGGUUUCCCUUUACGAAUUGUAGUUUAAAGAAGUGUUUUCUGUUGAGGUUUUGGUAAAAGUUCUUUGGAAUAGGACAUCAUAGAGGGUGAGAAUCCCGUAUUUGACCUUUACUUUCAACUUUGUGAUACACUUUCAAAGAGUCGGAUUGUUCGGGAAUGCAGUCCAAAAUGGGUGGUAAAUUUCAUCUAAAGCUAAAUAUUGGCGAGAGACCGAUAGCGAACAAGUACCGUGAGGGAAAGAUGAAAAGAACUUUGAAAAGAGAGUUAAACAGUACGUGAAAUUGUCAAAAGGGAAGCGUUUGACACCAGUGUUGUUUUUCUGAAAAUCAAUUAAAGAACUGUUUAUGCUAAGUUGUUUAGACUUUAUCAGCUAACUGUUUAGUUUUGAGCUUUUCUUUAAUGCACUUUUCAGUUAACAAGUCAACAUCAAUUCCUUUUGCUGUAAAAAAGCUUGAGGAAGGUGGCUUGAGAUUCGUCUUAAGUGUUUAUAGCCUCUUGCCUAUGCAGUCGGAGAGAUUGAGGUCUGCAGCGUAGAUCCUUCGGGGCUAAAUGCAUUUGUGCUAAGUUAUAGCAUUUUAUAGACAACUUGUUGACUAUGAUUUGUCUUGUAGCUUACUCGCUUAUGUUAUUUUACCUACGCUUAGGAUGUUGAACGCGCACAGAGUCUC
rnacentral:rRNA from 1 species